CUGAGAUGGAGAGGCUCUGGGCUCUGAUCUGGCAUGUGCCACCUUCUCCUGGUGAGAUCAGUACCUUUAAGGAUAGAGGAAUGGGCAAUUAUAAAUUAUGUAAAUCCUGGAAGAGUAUGGACAAUUAUAGAUUCCAGAAUUUAUAAAAACUCUCAGGUCAGUGCCAGCUCUGCUCACACUUAAAGACAACUGGACCCUCAGCAUGUGUGAGUGAGUGUUCUGUCAAUUCUUUAGGUCAACCAGCAAAUGUUUCUCACCCUGACAAGACCCAUCAGGCAAGUAUGAAGUUGGGACGAUCACAAAAAUUAGGGAACAGUUUUUUAAAUGGUUGCAUGUACUUAAUCACAUUUUAAAGUUAAAACUUAAGAAUUAAAACCUGAGAACUUUUGACUUCUCCCAGCAACAAAGAGGAUGUAUACAGCUAUUCUUGAACAAGCGAAUGCCUGCUAAUUCAAUUGCCUAAAAUUCCAGUCAUUAGCCAAGCAGUUUUCCAAAUUAAGACAUCCGGUCUCCUACAAUUUUCCACUUAAGCCAGAACACAGAAAAAUAGAUUUGACCAAUCAACUUAAGAUUACCCAUGAAAAUAUGACUUAUGGUGUAUGGAUUAGUAGUUGUACAGUGUAUUAUGAAAAAUCUAUGCUGCCACCUUCACGUUCCCAAUCCAGGUUGUAGAAAAUGGAUCACAUUUUUUUUAAUGUGCAUAUAGAAUCUUCUUAAAUGACUAGAAGCAAAAUGUUUGAACACUUCUAUCUGAGUGAUUUAAGGUAAUCUAAUAAUUCAUAAGCUCUGAACAGAAUUAAUAUUAAAAAUAAAGAUGCCAUGUAUGAUACAUAUUUAGGAUCUAUAGGGUACAUAAUCACAAUUUUGAAAACACACAAGAAUUCUCAGUUCAUAUAAUUUAUUGCAGUUAGCACACAGUUUAAAAAUUCACCAACACACCAAUAGUACAAAACUAAACAGCAUUAUAAGUUAUUCCCCCCUCAGGAAAAUAAAACAUACUAUGAUUGUCAAAGCUAGAUGUCAGUCUAAGUUUUAGAACAAAGGAAGAAUGUGAAACUAAUAAAAGGAAAAAGCAAUCACUCACAAUGACCACAAAAAAAAAUCCAAAAGAAAGUCCGUUUUCUCACAGACAUUGAUUGUCUUCUCUAAAUUAAUAAAAAUUAUCUUAACAUAAACUGUACUUUAAAAAAACUAGAAACUCUUCAAGUAACUAAAGAUAAUGCUCCAAGGCCAUUUUCACAGCUUUUUUUGUUUGUUUGUUUGCUUUAAAUGCCAUUACAGCCAAAUUAACACACAUUUGACCAAAUAUUUCCAAAACAGUCCAGCAACACACAAUGGAGUUUUCCAUUCAGUAUCUUAAGCACAAAAAUAGGCUAUGUUUACAGUAGUUAAGGCGAUCAAAUUUUAAACAAAAGCAAUUUAAAAAAAAAAAAAAGGGAAAAACAGCAAACGUUUUCCAUGCUACUCCCAUAGACCUUAUUUGUAAGUGCAAGACAGGAAAACAAACACUGUGCAAAAUGCUUUUACCCUGCGUGCUGGUCAUCGAAACCACACGUUGGGCUGCAGCCUCUGCUGCCGCGAUACACAUAGUCUACUAACCCCCUUCCCCGUGUCAAUCAAGGCAGUCCAGUCCAUUCAGCCUGGGGCUUUUUCAGUCCAUAGAAUCUUUUCAUGAGUUGGGGGUGUGGGGGGGGAUGGGGGGGUAAGGGAUGGAGGGAGGAAGGGAGGGAAAGGAAGAAGGGGAGAGAAAGAAAAGGGGAGGAAAAAAAAAAAAGAGAAUGACCUAUUGUCAAUUUGUGCAGUAGUUAACUCUAAAAACGCUCAACUGGGUAAAUGUGUACAUCUAAACUUUGAGCUGGCCUGGGUUUUGUGCAAUUAGAAGUUUUGUUAUAAAUGCACACUGCACAUGCAGAUCUUUAAGCCGUUUGUAAACAUUUAUAUUUUCCUUGUUAUGUAGCGAAGUUAUCAAUUUGCAGCUUAAGUUUUUAUUCAGCUUAACAGUUUCAACUUAAAGACAGUGGGAAAGUCAAUUUAAAUUAUAUAAAAUAAAAAUAAAAACAGUGCAUUAACGUUCUUCAUAACACCAGGUUUUUUUUCUCCAAAUGGUGCUAUUUCUCUAAGGAAAUUAAAUAAUUUUAAA